UCCAUCAAUGUGGGAAUCUGUGGGUGUACGAAGCACUGCAUGGAUGUGAGCUUCGUCACAGGAUUCACAAAGUGUCCCAGUCUGCGAUGGUGUGUCGUAAUGCCGAAGACUAGCUACAGAACCACAAACUGUGUGCUACUUUAUUGCCACUGGGGACGAAUUGAUCACGCUAAUCGGUGCUCACCCAACGAGUUUGGAAGAGUGUCCCCAGUCGUGCCGCGUUCGACAGGAGAUUCGACUCGACGACCUUCGAGGGGGCGCGACCACUGGAAACUAUCUGCUUUGCUGGCGAUGCUGGAUUCGCAGAGAGCACCAGCGAGCAUCCACGGAGGCAAAUCUGAACACUUGCCGUGAAGAAAUCGUACGAAACACGAAUUUGUGGGUGAUCCUUUUCAGUGGAUCUUAGCUGUAAAUGAUUCUCCAGCGUUCAUACCAUACAGGCUACCAUCAUGCCAGUAGGGGAAGCCUAUCGAUGUGAUUACAUCGUAUUUAAGUUUAACUCAGGCAUCCAGACACUUAGAAAACAAGCGCGAACACCAUUGCUGUGGCCAAUUUCUGCUUGGGAGUGGUCAGCAUCAAAGUCCAGUGCACUGCAGCAGAUUCAGAGCGAGCGUACAUGCAUUCGACGUUGACAUCGAUGGUUUUGGCAAUUGAACAUAUCAAGUCAACCAUGAAUUUGCUUGAGUGGAGUGGAGAUCCGUGUGUUCCACAUUCUUGGCUAUCAUGCACUACCUAAACAACGCAGCCACCUCCAGUGGAACUCCUGUAACUAAACUCUCAACUGUACACUAUUGAACCUGCAACAUUCAUAGUGAAGAUUGGUCACUGGCCAGCACAUUACACUGUUAACAUCUGUGGAUUAUGAGACCAAAAGAUGUGGCAUUGGUGGGGUGGGUUGUGCAAGAAUCUGACAGGAUAUAAUUUGCAAGGAUUCCUGAACAACAACUCUUUGAAUGGAUCAUUACCGGACUUGAGCAAGUUAAAGAGAUUAGAAAAGUUGCUUUCAAUUCUUAUUUUAAACCUUAGUAAUGAAAUUUCAAAAACUACAAGUUUGAUUUACAAUCUAAUUAAAAGUGGUGAUGAUUUGUGUAUGUUUAUUCAAAACAACAACUUCAGUGGUGUGAUUCCAAAAAAUCUUAUUAAUAGAUCUUUGAUAUUCUAUGUAUCAAGCAGGAAAUGAUUUGUUGGUAAUAGAAAAUUCUACAGAUAAAAAUAAAAAUAUAUGCACAAAGUCAAUCAACCAAAUUUCUUACAUCUUUGUUCUUAUUAUUUUUUUGAAAAUUUAUAGCAUAUAAAUAAAUAUUUUUUUUUAAAAUAUAUUAUUAUGGUUCCAAAAAUAUUAUAUUGAGAAUAUAAAGUUUACAAAGCUAUGACUGAAUUUUGUUUGCAAGAUGAUCUUUGCAUUUAAGAAGAUAAGAAUGGAUUCUAUUGAGGCUCUUAGCCUCAAAUGGCUUGGUCUUAAUAGAAGAGAAAAUCAAAAGUAUUCUCUAUAUAAUUUGAUCACACUAACAUAAGAGGGCUUUCUUAAUGUGAUUCCACUAGAGUAUUGUUAACAUUUAUCAUUUCUUCAAGUUUAUUACUACCUUUUAUUUAUAGCAGCUAUCUACCAAUAUUGUAUAAUUUGAAGACCAUUACAAAGUAAUUUUACAAUUAUUUUAAUUUGUACAACUAUUCUAACUACAACUAGCAAAACUAAAACUAAAACUAUAAGGAUUAACUAACUAAAAUUUAUAUAUAUAUAUAUAUAUAUAUAUAUAUAUAUAUUUUAAAAUCAAAUAUUUUUGUUUACCUUUAGUUCCUCCAAUAUAAACAAGAACCAAAUCAAAUUGAAGAAAGAUAUGUCUUGUAUUAAGCUAUUAUUUCUUUAAUUUGAUUUGAUGUUGAGUCACAAAAAGAGAAAUUCUUUUGAAGUCAUCAUAAGUCUAAGAAAAAAAAAAUGUUCUUAAAUUCAUAAAUAAAAGCCACCAAAGUUUAGUUCAAAUUUUAGAUUCAUUUUUAAGAACUUGGAGUUGUUUUUAAUCUUAAUAUUGAUCUUUUGAACUUG